UACAGAGGGGGCAAGCGUUAUUCGGAAUUAUUGGGCGUAAAGGGCGCGUAGGCGGCCAUUCAAGUGACGGGUGAAAGCCCUCGGCUUAACCGAGGAACUGCCUGUCAGACUGGAUGGCUUGAGACCGGGAGAGGUGAGUGGAAUUCCCAGUGUAGCGGUGAAAUGCGUAGAUAUUGGGAGGAACACCAGUGGCGAAGACGGCUCACUGGACCGGAACUGACGCUGAGGCGCGAAAGCGUGGGGAGCAAACAGG
rnacentral:rRNA from 1 species